UACAGAGGGUGCAAGCGUUAAUCGGAAUUACUGGGCGUAAAGCGUGCGCAGGCGGUGAUGUAAGACAGGUGUGAAAUCCCCGGGCUUAACCUGGGAACUGCAUUUGUGACUGGCGAGCUAGAGUACGGAAGAGGCGAGUGGAAUUCCUGGUGUAGCGGUGGAAUGCGCAGAUAUCAGGAGGAACACCAAUAGCGAAGGCAGCUCGCUGGGACGGUACUGACACUGAGGCGCGAAAGCGUGGGGAGCAAACAGG
rnacentral:rRNA from 1 species